CCUACGGGAGGCAGCAGUGGGGAAUAUUGCACAAUGGGGGAAACCCUGAUGCAGCGACGCCGCGUGAGUGAAGAAGUAUCUCGGUACGUAAAGCUCUAUCAGCAGGGAAGAAAAUGACGGUACCUGACUAAGAAGCCCCGGCUAACUACGUGCCAGCAGCCGCGGUAAUACGUAGGGGGCAAGCGUUAUCCGGAUUUACUGGGUGUAAAGGGAGCGUAGACGGCUAAUCAAGUCAGAAGUGAAAACCCAGGGCUCAACCUUGGGACUGCUUUUGAAACUGAGUAGCUAGAGUGCAGGAGAGGUAAGCGGAAUUCCUAGUGUAGCGGUGAAAUGCGUAGAUAUUAGGAGGAACACCAGUGGCGAAGGCGGCUUACUGGACUGUAACUGACGUUGAGGCUCGAAAGCGUGGGGAGCAAACAGGAUUAGAUACCCGUGUAGUC
rnacentral:rRNA from 1 species